AGUGAACGCUGGCGGUAGGCCUAACACAUGCAAGUCGAACGGCAGCACAGUAAGAGCUUGCUCUUACGGGUGGCGAGUGGCGGACGGGUGAGGAAUACAUCGGAAUCUACUUUUUCGUGGGGGAUAACGUAGGGAAACUUACGCUAAUACCGCAUACGACCUACGGGUGAAAGCAGGGGAUCUUCGGACCUUGCGCAAUUGAUUGAGCCGAUGUCGGAUUAGCUAGUUGGCGGGGUAAAGGCCCACCAAGGCGACGAUCCGUAGCUGGUCUGAGAGGAUGAUCAGCCACACUGGAACUGAGACACGGUCCAGACUCCUACGGGAGGCAGCAGUGGGGAAUAUUGGACAAUGGGCGCAAGCCUGAUCCAGCCAUACCGCGUGGGUGAAGAAGGCCUUCGGGUUGUAAAGCCCUUUUGUUGGGAAAGAAAAGCAGCAGGUUAAUACCCCGCUGUUCUGACGGUACCCAAAGAAUAAGCACCGGCUAACUUCGUG
rnacentral:rRNA from 1 species